AGGUCCAGCCUGCCCAGUGACUCUGUUCAACGGCCGCGGUAUCCUAACCGUGCGAAGGUAGCGUAAUCACUUGUUCUUUAAAUGAGGACUAGUAUGAAUGGCACCACGAAGGUUAUACUGUCUCCUUUUUCUAAUCAGUGAAACUAAUCUUCCCGUGAAGAAACGGGAAUAAAAAUAUAAGACGAGAAGACCCUAUGGAGCUUUAAACAAAUAUACACCUGCCUCUUUACCAAAAAAUUUCAGAAGACAAGUAGUUAUCCAGGCAUUUUGAUAUAGCGUUUUAGGUUGGGGUGACCGCGGAGCAAAAAAUAACCUCCGCAGCGAACGGGAGUAUUCCCUAAACUAAGGGCCACAACCCCAAGUAUUGAUAAAUCAACACUAAUUGACCCA
rnacentral:rRNA from 1 species